rnacentral:tRNA from 1 species
GGGCUUCUGGCGGAAUAGGCAGACGCGGCAGCCUCAAGACCUGUGACAUCUUCAGGGUUCGAGUCCCUGGGAGCCCACCA